UACGAAGGGGGCUAGCGUUGUUCGGAUUUACUGGGCGUAAAGCGCACGUAGGCGGAUUGUUAAGUCAGGGGUGAAAUCCUGGAGCUCAACUCCAGAACUGCCUUUGAUACUGGCAAUCUCGAGUCCGGAAGAGGUGAGUGGAACUGCGAGUGUAGAGGUGAAAUUCGUAGAUAUUCGCAAGAACACCAGUGGCGAAGGCGGCUCACUGGCCCGGUACUGACGCUGAGGUGCGAAAGCGUGGGGAGCAAACAGGG
rnacentral:rRNA from 1 species